GUUCCCUGUCCCAGCCUGUGCUGACUCAGCCGCCCUCUGUGUCUGCAUCUCAGGGAACAACUGCCAGACUCACUUGCACCGUCAGCAGUGACAUCAUUAUUGACAGCUACUACAUCAACUGGUACCAGCAGAAGCCAGGGAGCCCUCCCCAGUAUCUAAUGGAUUAUAAAUCAGACUCAGACAACCACCGGGGCUCAGAGGUCCCCAGCCGUUUCUCUGGAUCCAAAGAUGCUUCAGCCAAUGCAGGGCUCAUGACUAUCUCUGGGUUGCAGCCUGAGGAUGAGGCCGACUAUUACUGUAGGUCCUGGGCACAGUCUGGGCUGACACAGGAAGCCUCGGUGUCAGGGUCUGUGGGACAGAAGGUCACCCUCACCUGCACUGGAAACAGCUACAGUAUUGGAAUUUUUGGUGCAGCCUGGUACCAACAGGUUCCUGGUGCUGCCCCCAAAACUGUGAUGCUUGGACGUACUCGGCCCUCAGGGAUCCCAGAUCGGUUCUCAGGCUCCAAGUCUGGCAGCACAGCCUCUCUGACCAUCACGGGCCUGCAGCCCGAGGAUGAGGCUGAUUAUUACUGUUCCACAUUAGACUAUAGUAGGAAUCACACAGUGCUCCAGCCCCAUAGGAACUGA